GGCCUGGUGGCGUAACUGGUAACAUGCGCAUUUAUUGUACGCCAUGGUGACACAUAAUCCUUCAAAUGUGAGACCCUCGUUCGAUCCGAGGUCAGGCCG